rnacentral:rRNA from 1 species
ACGGAGGAUGCAAGCGUUAUCCGGAAUCAUUGGGUUUAAAGGGUCCGUAGGCGGACAAUUAAGUCAGGGGUGAAAUUCUGCGGCUCAACCGUAGAACUGCCCUUGAUACUGGUUGUCUUGAAUCGUUGUGAAGUGGUUAGAAUGAGUAGUGUAGCGGUGAAAUGCUUAGAGAUUACUCAGAAUACCGAUUGCGAAGGCAGAUCACUAACAACGUAUUGACGCUGAGGGACGAAAGCGUGGGGAGCGAACAGG